GACGAACGCUGGCGGCGUGCUUAACACAUGCAAGUCGAACGGAAAGGCCCUGCUUUUGUGGGGUGCUCGAGUGGCGAACGGGUGAGUAACACGUGAGUAACCUGCCCUUGACUUUGGGAUAACUUCAGGAAACUGGGGCUAAUACCGGAUAGGAGCUCCUGCUGCAUGGUGGGGGUUGGAAAGUUUCGGCGGUUGGGGAUGGACUCGCGGCUUAUCAGCUUGUUGGCGGGGUAGUGGCUUACCAAGGCUUUGACGGGUAGCCGGCCUGAGAGGGUGACCGGCCACAUUGGGACUGAGAUACGGCCCAGACUCCUACGGGAGGCAGCAGUGGGGAAUAUUGCACAAUGGGCGGAAGCCUGAUGCAGCAACGCCGCGUGCGGGAUGACGGCCUUCGGGUUGUAAACCGCUUUCGCCUGUGACGAAGCGUGAGUGACGGUAAUGGGUAGAGAAGCACCGGCUAACUACGUG
rnacentral:rRNA from 1 species